GGAAUAUUGCACAAUGGGGGAAACCCUGAUGCAGCCAUGCCGCGUGUGUGAAGAAGGCCUUCGGGUUGUAAAGCACUUUCAGUAGGGAGGAAGGUAGUGUAGUUAACACCUGCAUUAUUUGACGUUACCUACAGAAGAAGCACCGGCUAACUCCGUGCCAGCAGCCGCGGUAAUACGGAGGGUGCGAGCGUUAAUCGGAAUUACUGGGCGUAAAGCGCAUGCAGGCGGCCUGUUAAGUCAGAUGUGAAAGCCCGGGGCUUAACCUCGGAAUUGCCUUUGAAACUGGCAGGCUAGAGUCUUGUAGAGGGGGGUAGAAUUUCAGGUGUAGCGGUGAAAUGCGUAGAGAUCUGAAGGAAUACCAGUGGCGAAGGCGGCCCCCUGGACAAAGACUGACGCUCAGAUGCGAAAGCGUGGGGAGCAAAC
rnacentral:rRNA from 1 species